CCUACGGGGGGCAGCAGUGGGGGAUAUUGCACAAUGGGGGGAACCCUGAUGCAGCGACGCCGCGUGAGUGAAGAAGUAUCUCGGUAUGUAAAGCUCUAUCAGCAGGGAAGAAGCAAGACGGUACCUGACUAAGAAGCCCCGGCUAACUACGUGCCAGCAGCCGCGGUAAUACGUAGGGGGCGAGCGUUAUCCGGAUUUAUUGGGUUUAAAGGGUGCGCAGGCGGUCUGUUAAGUCAGCGGUCAAAGCCCGGGGCUCAACCCCGGCCCGCCGUUGAAACUGGCAGUCUCGAGUUGGAGAGAAGUAU
rnacentral:rRNA from 1 species